GAAUGAAGAACGUAGCGAAAUGCGAUAAGUAAUGUGAAUUGCAGAAUUCAGUGAAUCAUCGAAUCUUUGAACGCACAUUGCGCCCGCCAGUAUUCUGGCGGGCAUGCCUGUCUGAGCGUCAUUUCAACCCUCAUGCCCCUAGGGCGUGGUGUUGGGGAUCGGCCAAAGCCCGCGAGGGACGGCCGGCCCCUAAAUCUAGUGGCGGACCCGUCGUGGCCUCCUCUGCGAAGUAGUGAUAUUCCGCAUCGGAGAGCGACGAGCCCCUGCCGUUAAACCCCCAACUUUCCAAGGUUGACCUCAGAUCAGGUAGGAAUACCCGCUGAACUUAAGCAUAUCAAUAAGCGGAGGA
rnacentral:misc_RNA from 1 species